GCGGGGGUGUCCGAGCCGGGUCAAAGGAGGUAGGCUUAGGACCUACUGGCGUAGGCCUGCGUGGGUUCAAAUCCCACCCCCCGCACCA
rnacentral:tRNA from 1 species